rnacentral:rRNA from 1 species
UACGGAGGGGGCUAGCGUUGUUCGGAAUUACUGGGCGUAAAGCGUACGUAGGCGGCUUUGUAAGUUAGAGGUGAAAGCCCGGGGCUCAACUCCGGAAUUGCCUUUAAGACUGCAUCGCUUGAAUCAUGGAGAGGUGAGUGGAAUUCCGAGUGUAGAGGUGAAAUUCGUAGAUAUUCGGAAGAACACCAGUGGCGAAGGCGACUCACUGGACAUGUAUUGACGCUCAGGUGCGAAAGCGUGGGGAGCGAACCGG